GAUGAACGCUGGCGGCGUGCCUAAUACAUGCAAGUCGAGCGAACGGACGAGAAGCUUGCUUCUCUGAUGUUAGCGGCGGACGGGUGAGUAACACGUGGAUAACCUACCUAUAAGACUGGGAUAACUUCGGGAAACCGGAGCUAAUACCGGAUAAUAUUUUGAACCGCAUGGUUCAAAAGUGAAAGACGGUCUUGCUGUCACUUAUAGAUGGAUCCGCGCUGCAUUAGCUAGUUGGUAAGGUAACGGCUUACCAAGGCAACGAUGCAUAAGCGACCUGAGAGGGUGAUCGGCCACACUGGAACUGAGACACGGUCCAGACUCCUACGGGAGGCAGCAGUAGGGAAUCUUCCGCAAUGGGCGAAAGCCUGACGGAGCAACGCCGCGUGAGUGAUGAAGGUCUUCGGAUCGUAAAACUCUGUUAUUAGGGAAGAACAUAUGUGUAAGUAACUGUGCACAUCUUGACGUUACCUAAUCAGAAAGCCACGGCUAACUACGUG
rnacentral:rRNA from 1 species